rnacentral:ncRNA from 1 species
ACUAUUCCAGUGAAGAGGCACAGUAGUUAAGGUUGCAAAUAAAUAAGAGAGGAGAGGUCAUGGCUGAGAGCCCUCCAUAUUUGUCUUAAUGAAUGAACACCUCGGAGGAGUUUUUCUGAACGUCUAAGACCAUUAGGAAAAAACGUAUACAGGCGUUAACUGUGUAAAAGUGGAAGCGUAACAGCUUCAAUUAGGGUGGCACCACGGGUUUAACUCUCGUCCCUGAU